ensembl:lncRNA
UUUUUUUUUUUUUUUUUUUUUUUUUUUAACCAAAAAGAAAAGAGCUUUUCUCCCUUCUGGUAGUUUUUGGUUGUGAUAGAAAGCCUUACACGGGAAGUGAGCAUUCAGGAGCACACAGCAACCCUGCAGCCAUGCUGUGAAGCAGGAGGGGUGGCACCAGUGUGCCAUGCUGCCCAGGGUGUCAUCUGAAGCAGUUUUAUAAGUUGAGCAAGUAACCCCUUGCACGGGUAGCCCAUGUCCCACCCAGCCCUGCUCACACCUAGAGAAACCCAGAGCUGGUACCACACAAAAAGCAGCCAUGUGUGCCAGACUCAGCCCUGCUUUGCUCCCUCCCUCACCUUCCUUCCCCCUUAAAAACACUUUCUGACCACCAGAAGUCCUGAUCUGGGUUAGAUGUUGCCCUCCAAGCUUCCUUCAGUAGGAGGUGGUUUCCUGCUGCAGGAAGUCAGAGUUCUCCUUCAGCUUCACUGAAGUAAAUCACCUCCUGUUUUUCACCUGCAUUUUCAGCAGACUGCUGAGUUACAGUUUGCAGGUAAUUUGUCUUAACAAAAUAAUAGACAAAAUGCUGCCCUUCUAUCAGGCUGGGUUUUUUUCUACCGUGCCAAGUGAGUGGCAGAGAGAACAGCCAGCAACUCAUCAAAAAGAGCAGUUUGUCUCUCCUUUCACUGCCCAUGGUGCUCUACAAUGAGAUGGCAGCUUCCAUGUCACCCUGCAGAGAACAAACCCUCUCAUUUCAGGGAAAUGCAAUAACAAAUUGAAAAGAUUUAUCGAUCCCAGGUGCACCAUCCUUUUUUACUUUGUAACCACAUAGUCUCACAUCUCAAAAGUUUGAGACUCACAUCCAGAUCCCUCAGAAUCCUUACAUGAAAUUUGGUAUUUUAUUAUCAUAUCUGUAUGCUUUCUUCUCAUCUAGUUCAGAUAACCACUUCAGAUAAACUCCAGUUUUACCCAAAUGUCUUCUAACAUUGCCAGUAAAUCUAAAUUUUUUGGAUUUCCCCUCUGGAACGGACGACAAUGAGGAGUUCCUAGAACAACAACAACAACAACAACAACAACAAAAAGUUGUAUCACACAUAAAAACAAAAAUCUUACUAUAUGUAAUCAAGUGCCCAAAAAAUGACCAAGACGAAAUAUGUCUUUGUAGGCUGAAAUUGUCCUGAAAGCUUUUGGGGAGUCACAAAGACAAAGCCCCUUGACUACAGCAGCUUUGCCCUUGGAGAAGGUUGUCCUCAUUUGCUUCCCAUCUGUAGCCCAACUUUCUGCCAGGAGUGGUUCACCACAUUUUGGACAUGUCCAUGUAAGGGAAUAUGACAUCUGGGGUGGGGAAAGAGGAUGGGGAAAGCAUUGCAUGGCAGCACAACACUGCGGCUAUUCAGUUAAAACAUGUGCCAACUUCAGUGGUUUCAUCAGGCUGUUUACAAAAAAGGGAUAUGGAGAGUGAAAAAUGCAAAUGCUACUGACACUUAUAGCAUGGGCAUCGUGUAAGAAAGAGACUUUAUGGGAAAAAAAAAACCCAACAAAAAUAACCCAACACCCUGUGUUCUUCACUAAACAAUGGGAAUCUAUUUGUAACAUCAAUUAAAGGCACUGAGCAAACCAAACUAAGAGGAGGUCUCCAUAUCCAUGCAUGCAAAUAACUGUUAGCAAAACUUUAGGGAUACUUCCAUGGGAAAACAAAGUAAAAAGAGAGCAUGAGCUGUAAAUAUCUCUCCAUACCAUUGAAGUGUUUUUCAUUCUCAUAAGAGUGGAAGCAAAGGAGCUUGGAGUGAGAUCAUGCAAUUUAUGGCAUAGCACUGUUGGCAGUGGGACUACACCAGUACAAAAGAAAAAAAAAAAUUACUAAUCACAAUCAGAAUGAAUUGGAGGUGAAGGGAAUGAGAACAGGGAGGUCUUAGGAUGCCAAAACACAGGAUGAGUUGUAUAUAGGGUUCAGUCUUCCUUGAUCACCACGGACACUCUUCAACCAUACAGAAUGUGAAGUAACGUGAAUUAUCUUAGCCCACAUUCACCAAUGUUUAUACAGCUGUGCAUGCUCUUGCCUUGGCUGUGGCACUGAACAUGCAUGUAUACAUUUGCUGCAGUAAUGAUGAACAGUUAAUUAAGAUACAGUAGCUGGACUGUAAGUCCAGAGAAAUAACUUGCAGAGAAAUAAGCCUGGUGGGUAUAUGUGGAGGAAAGGAAACAAUUGGAAGAUUUGCAGAAAGCCCACAAGUAAGCAAAGACAAUGUCUCCAAGAAGAAAAAGAUUGAGAAAAUAGAGAUUGAAGAAAGAAUGGGUCUUGUCAAAUAUUGCAGUCCUCACAGAAAUCAUCUAUCCAUACUAAAACCAGAAAAGAAUAUAUGAGAAAGAUGCUAAGGCAAACCAAAAAGGCAUGGAGUCUGUAGGCACGAGAUGUAUCUAGAAGGAGAGGUGAAGGUACAACCUCCAGACUGUUCUCAGCAUAUUUUGUUAGGAAGAGCUGAUUCUUUUAGAUUCAAAGAACGCUGCAGACUGCAGGCAUAAAUAUUUGGCGUAAAAAUAGAUAGAUAGAUAGAUAGAAAGAAAGAAAGAAAAGAAAGAAAGAAAAGAAAGAAAGAAAAGAAAGAAAGAAAGAAAGAAAGAAAGAAAGAAAGAAAGAAAGAAAGAAAGAAAGAAAGAAAGAAAGAAAGAAAGAAAGAAAGAAAGAAAGAAAGAAAGAAAAGAAAGAAAAGAAAGAAAGAAAGAAAGAAAGAAAGAAAGAAAGAAAGAAAGAAAGAAAGAAUUUUGGAAUUGAUACCCAAGUUAGCAUAAGAUACAAUUUGGUUUUAUGGGGAAACUGAUAUAGCUAAAGCCACUUUUCCCAUCUUUAGUCCAUCUUUAGGAGAUUUAUAUCAGUGGCAUUGCAUCACUAUAUAUACCUACAACAUUGUAAACACACCCUUGGGGCAUCUCACAUGAAGCUUUCAUCUCUGGCACGCACUGCUCUGCAGCUGGGUACACAACAAAGGCAAGAGGGAGAGAGCCCACUGCUUGGGCAGCAGUGUCUUGUAUUUGGAGCCUGAAAUUACAUUAUCCCCCAAAUAUGUGACAUAAUCACAUCACCAUGUAUCCCACUGCGAGAAUCUCACUCAGUUCUUACAGGUCUUCAUGUUGCCCGCCCUGGAAGUAUGCUAACAGUCUCUGUGAUAAAUGCCCAAGGAAGGACUUUUGAUAGGAAAGCAGCAUUCAACCACCAGAAGUCGGAAAGGGACUUUCUAGUUUUUCAACUGUAGCUAUUGCUUCACUCUUGUUUACCCUAUUCCUUCUUGUCAGUUUGAAUAGGAAUUUAAAAGCAGAACUGAAUUUUUUUUAUAUAAACAUUUGUGGUAAGUGCUGAGCCACAAGAGUGUCGCAACCAAAACACAGUUGCUCAACGGCACCUGUUAGUGCAAUUACUUUGACAUAAAAUGUGUUCUUUACUGUUGUCUACAGGGAAAACCAGCAGCAACCUGUUACCCUGCAGCUCCAGCUGGCAACAAAAUUUGUUACCUUGAUCUUGCAUAAUAUUGCAGAUGAAAAUAACAGAAUUCCAGUGAUCAAACUUGUUUUUCACUUAUUACCGAGUGCAGACUCUAACUCACAACCAGAUAAUCUUGAGAAAUAAGACUAAACCAAGCUGCUUAUUUACAGAUAAACAUUUUCAUGGGACUUGAAUUUAUAUGCAUCAAGGAAAGUAUACCUGCGGGUACAUUCUUCCUUUAUUUUUUUCCAUGGUUGAGUUAUUGCUAGAGAGAACACAGAGUUUUAACAGCAGUUAUUUAUUUCCUUGUGCAUUCUUACAAAGAACUUCCACACUCCUAAGUGCUGGACACUCCAAAGCAGUGACUAAAAGCAAAAGGGCAACCUUAUAAUUAGGAUCAGAUUAGAAGUUCUGCCGAGUUUCUCCUAAAUUACUACCACUGUAAAGUGCAGAGUACAGAUGUUACCCAUAUAUUUACGGUUAAAGGGCUUUAUUGUUGUUAAAGGCUACUUCUUAGAAGCCUGUAAAAGAUAGUUCAAGCAUGUAGGAACAAGUCGUGGAGGUUCUAAUUCAGUACAGUGGGGCAUGGAAAAUAUUUUCAGGUUUGUAAUGUUAAAAAAGGUCUUAGUCUGAUAGCUCAAACAGACCCAUCUUCUUAGCAGAUCUAAAGGGAUCCUGAACCAUUUAGGGAAGCAAGCAGAUGGAAUGAUUAAAUAAUAUCUAUCUAUCUCUGAAGUGAAAGAGCAUGAGAGAUGCUAAAGUUAUCACAAAAAAAAAUCUUCUUGAUCAAGACUUCAGGCUGACUGUCCAAACACCUAGAGUCAAAACUCAGAAUAAGCACGAGUUGAGGGCUCCUCUCACAGAAAAUACUCAAUGACCCAUAAUGUAAGGUCUUACUGUAUGGAUGGUAAUAGAGUGAGGUCUGCAGAGAAAAGAUUCAUCCCACCAUGUAAUGGAAGAGCUUGGAGAUGGUGAAAUUUAGGUAUUUAGGUUGUGUCCAACAGUGUCAAGGAAAACAGAAUGAAAUAGUAGUCCUGUUACAGACAUAAAGGAGGUUCAAGAAGAAAUGGAAGUUGAGAAGCCCACAAAUGGGUUCACAAAUCUAUGUCUAGGAUCUAUUCACAGCAGUGAGUAGGAGACUUGGAAGGUUUGUUGUUCUUUUUUCUAUUUUUAUACAUUCAUUUUACCUUCAAAAUUGGAAGAGAAAAUCUGAAGAAAAAAAAAAAAAGAGCAAAAAGCACACAAAAGGACACCUGAGGGAAAAAGGUUGUUCUUUAUAACUUGCAAAGCUAACAUUGUAUAACAACAGAAGGAAUAAAUG